UUUGGUAUUUUCUACGGAUAACACACCAAACCGCCAGCGGCAAGUCUUCACUGUUUUUAACUUGACGUUAGGUGAAGGCUCUUGAAUACUCUCGCUAUCUGGCUGGUGCAAAGUGCAAACGGAAGGACGAGAGGAGAGAAAAGGCUAAGUCUGUGUCCUCAUCCACAACGAUGCGAAGGUACGCGUCGAGAAUUUUCGGGUGGGGUUCGAGUUUCGGAAGAUUGGAUUUUCAUUGGGUCAAUUUGCAUUGGAUGAAACAUAAUUGCAAGAAUUCAUCUUUUUUGUCCAAAAGCAGUAAUACUCAAGCUAUAAUUAAGGAUUAUUCCAACAGUUUCCAGUCAAAGACAUAUGCGUCUUCUUGUGCUAAGAUGUUAGAGGAUCCAUCAAAAGAUAAUCCAGUUUCUGAUAUGCUAGUUGAUUCAUUUGGAAGGAUGCAUACUUACUUGAGGAUUUCCUUGACGGAGCGCUGUAACCUCCGGUGCCAAUAUUGUAUGCCAGCAGAUGGUGUGGAGCUCACGCCAAAUCCUCAGAUUCUUUCAGCAGAUGAGAUCAUUCGCUUGGCAAAUCUAUUUGUAAGCUCAGGCGUCAAUAAGAUUCGGUUGACUGGUGGGGAACCAACAAUUAGGAAAGACAUUGAAGAGAUAUGCUUACAAUUAUCUAAUUUGGAAGGGUUGAAAACACUGACUAUGACAACGAAUGGAAUUACUCUUGCGAGAAAGCUUUCAAAAUUGAAAGAAUGUGGUCUGAAUUCGGUAAAUAUCAGCUUGGACACCUUAGUCCGGGCCAAGUUUGAGUUCAUGACAAGGCGUAAAGGACAUGAAAGGGUUAUGGAGUCGAUCAAUACUGCUAUAGACCUUGGAUGCAAUCCAGUUAAAGUGAAUUGCGUUGUGAUACGUGGCUUCAAUGAUGAUGAAAUUUGUAAUUUCGUAGAGUUAACACGUGAGAAGCCAAUCAAUGUUCGAUUCAUUGAAUUCAUGCCUUUUGAUGGGAACGUCUGGAAUGUCAAAAAACUUGUACCCUAUUCGGAAAUGGUGGAUAGAGUGGCACAACAGUUUAAGGGGAUACAGAGGCUUCAGGAUCAUCCCACAGAUACAGCCAAGAAUUUUAGGCUAGAUGGGCAUCAAGGUACUGUUUCUUUCAUCACAUCAAUGACAGAGAAUUUUUGUGCUGGUUGCAAUAGAUUGCGGCUUUUAGCUGAUGGGAACUUUAAAGUAUGCCUCUUCGGUCCUUCUGAGGUUAGCUUGAGGGAUCCCCUUCGUAAUGGUAUUAAUGAUGAAGGGCUGAAGGAGAUAAUUGGGGCUGCGUACCUGUCUGUUUUAGGUCAAGAGGAAGAAAGCUGCUCACGCUGGAAUGUUUGAUAUUGCGAAAACUGCAAAUAGACCCAUGAUUCAUAUUGGUGGCUAGGGCUUGGUUCUAUCGGGAUCAGUCUUACCAGAAGAGAGCGGAUAUGGAGAUGUUUGUUCCUCUCAUUUGGUUGAUGUCAGGAGAAUAGAAAGCAAAAACACCACUGAAUCUAUUGCUUCGUUCACAUCACAAACAUCGCGUGCAUCAUGUAAGCUUGGAGAUAGAAUUAGAGAUUCAGCAUUGUAAUUAUUGGAUCCAUUAAUUUUCGUUUUUUCAGGAAAAUUAGCUUCAUGUUGUAUCAUAAGGAAGAAAUCAGUUUUUAAUCCUUUUUUCCCCUUUUA